UUACGGCCAUAUAACAUUCAAACACCGGUUCCCGUACGAUCACCGAAGUUAAGCAACACGCUUCACUGCUCAGUACCUAGAUAGGUGACCGUUUGAGAAUACCAGGU